rnacentral:rRNA from 1 species
UACGAAGGGGGCUAGCGUUGUUCGGAAUUACUGGGCGUAAAGGGCGCGUAGGCGGUCUUGUAAGUCAGAUGUGAAAGCCCCGGGCUCAACCCGGGAAUAGCAUUUGAUACUGCGAGGCUUGAGUCCGGGGGAGGAUGGCGGAAUUCCCAGUGUAGAGGUGAAAUUCGUAGAUAUUGGGAAGAACACCGGUUGCGAAGGCGGCCAUCUGGACCGGCACUGACGCUGAGGCGCGAAAGCGUGGGGAGCAAACAGG